GGCAAGGUGGCCGAGUGGUUAAGGCGGUGGUUUUAAGCUUAUGUAAUCAUAUUUUAAACACCACUAUCGUAAGAUGCAAGGGUUCGAACCCCUUCCUUGUCA